UACGUAGGGUGCAAGCGUUAAUCGGAAUUACUGGGCGUAAAGCGUGCGCAGGCGGUUGUGCAAGACAGAUGUGAAAUCCCCGGGCUCAACCUGGGAAUUGCGAUGGAGACUGCAAGGCUAGAAUCUGGCAGAGGGGGGGUAGAAUUCCACGUGUAGCAGUGAAAUGCGUAGAGAUGUGGAGGAACACCGAUGGCGAAGGCAGCCCCCUGGGUCAAGAUUGACGCUCAUGCACGAAAGCGUGGGGAGCAAACAGG
rnacentral:rRNA from 1 species